rnacentral:rRNA from 1 species
CGUGUAGGCGGUUGGAAAGUCAGGUGUGAAAUUCUUCGGCUCAACCGGGGGACUGCGCCUGAAACUUUCCGACUGGAGUUCGGGAGGGCAACUGGAAUUCCUGGUGUAACGGUGAAAUGUGUAGAUAUCAGGAGGAACACCCGUGGCGAAGGCGGGUUGCUGGACCGAAACUGACGCUGAGACGCGAAAGCGUGGGUAGCAAACA